rnacentral:tRNA from 1 species
CAGAGAAUAGUUUAUUAAAAAUAUUAGUUUUGGGAAUUAAAGAUAAAGAGGUUUCCUUUUUCUCUGA